rnacentral:rRNA from 1 species
AAUAGAUACCCGGUAGUCCACGCCGUAAACGAUGAGUGCUAAGUGUUAGAGGGUUUCCGCCCUUUAGUGCUGCAGCUAACGCAUUAAGCACGUCCGCCUGGGGAGUACGGACCGCAAGGCUGAAACUCGAAAGGAAUUGACGGGGGCCCGCACAAGCGGUGGAGCAUGUGGUUUAAUUCGAAGCAACGCGAAGAACCUUACCAGGUCUUGACAUCCUCUGCCAACCCUAGAGAUAGGGCGUUCCCCUUCGGGGGACAGAGUGACAGGUGGUGCAUGGUUGUCGUCAGCUCGUGUCGUGAGAUGUUGGGUUAAGUCCCGCAACGAGCGCAACCCUUGAUCUUAGUUGCCAGCAUUCGAGUUGGGCACUCUAAGGUGACUGCCGGUGACAAACCGGAGGAAGGUGGGGAUGACGUUAAAUCAUCAUGCCCCUUAUGACCUGGGCUACACACGUGCUACAAUGGAUGGUACAAAGAGCUGCGAACCCGCGAGGGUAAGCGAAUCUCAUAAAGCCAUUCUCAGUUCGGA